rnacentral:lncRNA from 1 species
GGAGUUUGGAAGUCGCAUUGCAGGCGUGGGUUGGCCAUGGAGUUGCGCAGAGUGGGUGUUGUUGGCGCCACCGCGUCAUGUGUCACGGCGCCAUCGCGCCUGAGUGCAGGUGAUUUCAAAAGACGUUAUAGGAGGGGCAGGCGGCGUGGGCAGGCGGGUACAGCUACCAAAUGACGGAACUGGGUAGGCAGGAAAGUAGGAACGAGCGGCAGGUACGCUGCUGACAUGGUACCACGCUAGUGUUGGCGUGCACUUCUGACGUGGGUCUGUAGGUAACUUGGCACGCUCCAUAUUGAUUUUUCGUGACCCUUGAACCUGUUUAGUGAGACGAGUGUGACUGUCUAUGAGUUGCCCAUGGCACGUGUGUCCACCUGCGUGUUCCAACGUAGCGUCAGGCAAAUUAGAGUACGUUCUGUACUAUCCCCAUCACAAUCCCAUGCACGCCUUCGCGCAUGCAACUUCACCCCUCAUGCGCUGACGUCUUAAGUCUUCUGUUGUUUUUGCGGGGGAUACAUGGUACACCACGUUCGGUUUUCCGUGCCGACACAGUUGGGUGCCGCGUAGUUAUUGUCAUCAUGCGCAC